rnacentral:rRNA from 1 species
CCUACGGGAGGCUGCAGUAGGGAAUAUUGGACAAUGGGUGAGAGCCUGAUCCAGCCAUGCCGCGUGCAGGAAGAAGGCGUUAUGCGUUGUAAACUGCUUUUGCCAGGGGAUAAAAAAGGCGUGCGCGCUUAAUUGAAGGUACCUGGUGAAUAAGCCACGGCUAACUACGUGCCAGCAGCCGCGGUAAUACGUAGGUGGCAAGCGUUGUCCGGAUUUAUUGGGUUUAAAGGGUGCGUAGGCGGCUUUUUAAGUCAGUGGUGAAAUAUCUCAGCUUA